UAAGUUGAAUUAUUAUCCACAAAUAUUUCUGAAGUUACAUAGAUUCUUAUGCUACUUUUGUUUGUAACAGAAAUCAAUUGUCAAUGAAGAAAUCUUCAAGAUAAUUAUUGAGCAACCCCAUUCAGUUUUCAAGCUUGAAUUUAACAGAUCUAUUGUUCAUUUGUUUGGAUCUACUGUUUAAAUUUAUUGUUCCAAUGGAUCUAUUGUCAAUUGUCAGAUUCGUUUAUUUUUUUUAAUAAUUGAAAGAUGUGUAAAUUUAGGGGUUUUUAUAUAUAUAUGUAUAAACAGAUCCAAUUAUUGGAGGAAUUAAAUGCUAAGCUCAUUGGAACUGUGAAAGCAGCCUGCUAAUUAUCUUGAAAAUGGAAUGGAAUUGAAGUGUAUCGUCCAAAUCACAAAAGGGAUAUUGCUGGUAUUGUUUAUGGAAAAUGAGCACACACUAUGAAACUAUCUUGCAUGAGGUGCGGGAAGAUGAUGAUGAGUAGUUUGUUUGGUACUCUUAGAUUUUUUGUUUAGAUGUUCUAAAUGUAUACGCAGGUAUUUUGAUAGCCUAAUGUAGUGAUUAAGUAUUUGUAUUCAAUCUUUGAUUAGGAAAGUGUUGUAAGACUAUGAUUCUCAUUCCCGGUAAUAAUAAAGUUA